AGGAAGUGGAGACAAUGUUUCGGCUCCUCUCUGAGCCUUUAUCAAGUCUGAUAAACUUAACUUGAUGGAAUUGAUAGAGGCUCAGAGGGGAGCUGAAAUGUUGUCUCCACUUCC